rnacentral:rRNA from 1 species
GUACACGAGCGGCGAACGGGUGAGUAACACGUGAGCAACCUGCCCCUGACUCUGGGAUAAGCGGUGGAAACGCCGUCUAAUACCGGAUAUGACCUGCCACCUCAUGGUGGCGGGUGGAAAGUUUUGUCGGUCAGGGAUGGGCUCGCGGCCUAUCAGCUUGUUGGUGGGGUAACGGCCUACCAAGGCGAUUACGGGUAGCCGGCCUGAGAGGGCGACCGGCCACACUGGGACUGAGACACGGCCCAGACUCCUGCGGGAGGCAGCAGUGGGGAAUAUUGCACAAUGGGCGAAAGCCUGAUGCAGCGACGCCGCGUGGGGGAUGACGGCCUUCGGGUUGUAAACCUCUUUUACCACCAACGCAGGCUCCGGGUUUUCUCGGGGUUGACGGUAGGUGGGGAAUAAGGACCGGCUAACUACGUGCCAGCAGCCGCGGUAAUACGUAGGGUCCGAGCGUUGUCCGGAAUUAUUGGGCGUAAAGAGCUCGUAGGCGGCAUGUCGCGUCUGCUGUGAAAGACCGGGGCUUAACUCCGGUUCUGCAGUGGAUACGGGCAUGCUAGAGGUAGGUAGGGGAAACUGGAAUUCCUGGUGUAGCGGUGAAAUGCGCAGAUAUCAGGAGGAACACCGGUGGCGAAGGCGGGUUUCUGGGCCUUACCUGACGCUGAGGAGCGAAAGCAUGGGGAGCGAACAGGAUUAGAUACCCUGGUAGUCCAUGCCGUAAACGUUGGGCGCUAGGUGUG